GCGUUUGUGGUUUAGUGGUAGAAUGCCUCGUUGCAAUCGUGUCGACCCGGGGUUCGAUUCCCGGCAGACGGA
rfam:Gregarina niphandrodes unplaced genomic scaffold scaffold00249, whole genome shotgun sequence.